ensembl:snRNA U6 U6 spliceosomal RNA
GUGCUCGCUUCGGCAGCACAUAUACUGAAAUUGGUAUUAUACAGAGAAGAUUAUCAUGCCCCCUGCACAAAAUCACAGAGUUAAUGGGUGGCAGGAUCAGGGCUUAA